rnacentral:rRNA from 1 species
UACGGGGGGAGCAAGCGUUGUUCGGAUUUACUGGGCGUAAAGGGCGCGUAGGCGGCCAGCACAAGUCAGUUGUGAAAUCUCCGGGCUUAACUCGGAAAGGUCAACUGAUACUGUGCGGCUAGAGUGCAGAAGGGGCAACUGGAAUUCUCGGUGUAGUGGUGAAAUGCGUAGAUAUCGAGAGGAACACCUGCGGCGAAGGCGGCGACCUGGGUAGAUACUGACGCUGAGGUGCGAAAGCGUGGGGAGCAAACAGG